AGUGAACGCUGGCGGUAGGCCUAACACAUGCAAGUCGAACGGCAGCACAGUAAGAGCUUGCUCUUACGGGUGGCGAGUGGCGGACGGGUGAGGAAUACAUCGGAAUCUACUUUUUCGUGGGGGAUAACGUAGGGAAACUUACGCUAAUACCGCAUACGACCUACGGGUGAAAGCAGGGGAUCUUCGGACCUUGCGCGAUUGAAUGAGCCGAUGUCGGAUUAGCUAGUUGGCGGGGUAAAGGCCCACCAAGGCGACGAUCCGUAGCUGGUCUGAGAGGAUGAUCAGCCACACUGGAACUGAGACACGGUCCAGACUCCUACGGGAGGCAGCAGUGGGGAAUAUUGGACAAAGGGCGAAAGCCUGAUCCAGCCAUACCGCGUGGGUGAAGAAGGCCUUCGGGUUGUAAAGCCCUUUUGUUGGGAAAGAAAAGCAGCAGGUUAAUACCCCGCUGUUCUGACGGUACCCAAAGAAUAAGCACCGGCUAACUUCGUG
rnacentral:rRNA from 1 species